rnacentral:rRNA from 1 species
AUACGGAGGAUGCGAGCGUUAUCCGGAUUUAUUGGGUUUAAAGGGUGCGUAGGCUGUGCGUUAAGUCAGGGGUGAAAUGCCGUCGCUCAACGACGGAGCUGCCCUUGAUACUGGCGUGCUGGAGUACGGAUGCCGUUGGAGGAAUGAGUGGUGUAGCGGUGAAAUGCUUAGAUAUCACUCAGAACACCGAUUGCGAAGGCAUCUGACGAAUCCGUCACUGACGCUGAGGCCCGAAAGCGUGGGGAUAGAACAGGAUUAGAUACCCUGGGAUUCCACGCCGUAAACGAUGAUGACUAACCGUCGGCGAUAGACAGCCGGUGGCCAAGCGAAAGCGAUAAGUCAUCCACCUGGGGAGUACGUCGGCAACGAUGAAACUUAAAGGAAUUGACGGGG